GACGAACGCUGGCGGCGUGCUUAACACAUGCAAGUCGAACGGAAAGGCCCUGCUUUUGUGGGGUGCUCGAGUGGCGAACGGGUGAGUAACACGUGAGUAACCUGCCCUUGACUUUGGGAUAACUUCAGGAAACUGGGGCUAAUACCGGAUAGGAGCUCCUGCUGCAUGGUGGGGGUUGGAAAGUUUCGGCGGUUGGGGAUGGACUCGCGGCUUAUCAGCUUGUUGGUGGGGUAGUGGCUUACCAAGGCUUUGACGGGUAGCCGGCCUGAGAGGGUGACCGGCCACAUUGGGACUGAGAUACGGCCCAGACUCCUACGGGAGGCAGCAGUGGGGAAUAUUGCACAAUGGGCGGAAGCCUGAUGCAGCAACGCCGCGUGCGGGAUGACGGCCUUCGGGUUGUAAACCGCUUUCGCCUGUGACGAAGCGUGAGUGACGGUAAUGGGUAAAGAAGCACCGGCUAACUACGUGCCAGCAGCCGCGGGGAUACGUAGGGUGCGAGCGUUGUCCGGAUUUAUUGGGCGUAAAGGGCUCGUAGGUGGUUGAUCGCGUCGGAAGUGUAAUCUUGGGGCUUAACCCUGAGCGUGCUUUCGAUACGGGUUGACUUGAGGAAGGUAGGGGAGAAAUGGAAUUCCUGGUGGAGCGGUGGAAUGCGCAGAUAUCAGGAGGAACACCAGUGGCGAAGGCGGUUCUCUGGGCCUUUCCUGACGCUGAGGAGCGAAAGCGUGGGGAGCGAACAGGCUUAGAUACCCUGGUAGUCCACGCUGUAAACGGUGGGUACUAGGUGUGGGGUCCAUUCCACGGGUUCCGCGCCGUAGCUAACGCUUUAAGUACCCCGCCUGGGGAGUACGGCCGCAAGGCUAAAACUCAAAGGAAUUGACGGGGCCCCGCACAAGCGGCGGAGCAUGCGGAUUAAUUCGAUGCAACGCGUAGAACCUUACCUGGGUUUGACAUGGAUCGGGAGUGCUCAGAGAUGGGUGUGCCUCUUUUGGGGUCGGUUCACAGGUGGUGCAUGGCUGUCGUCAGCUCGUGUCGUGAGAUGUUGGGUUAAGUCCCGCAACGAGCGCAACCCUUGUUCACUGUUGCCAGCACGUUAUGGUGGGGACUCAGUGGAGACCGCCGGGGUCAACUCGGAGGAAGGUGGGGAUGACGUCAAGUCAUCAUGCCCCUUAUGUCCAGGGCUUCACGCAUGCUACAAUGGCUGGUACAGAGAGUGGCGAGCCUGUGAGGGUGAGCGAAUCUCGGAAAGCCGGUCUCAGUUCGGAUUGGGGUCUGCAACUCGACCUCAUGAAGUCGGAGUCGCUAGUAAUCGCAGAUCAGCAACGCUGCGGUGAAUACGUUCCCGGG
rnacentral:rRNA from 1 species